AUUGAACGCUGGCGGCAGGCCUAACACAUGCAAGUCGAACGAGUGGCGGACGGGUGAGUAAUGUCUGGGAAACUGCCUGAUAGAGGGGGAUAACUACUGGAAACGGUAGCUAAUACCGCAUACUAUCAGAGGAGCCCUAAUGGGAUGAGCUAGUUGGUGGGGUAACGGCUCACCAAGCCGACGAUCCCUAGCUGGUCUGAGAGGAUGACCAGCCACCCUGGAACUGAGAAACGGUCCAGACGCCUCCGGGAGGCAGCAGUGGGGAAGAUUGCGCAAUGGGCGCAACCCUGACAAAGCCAUGCCGCGUGUAUGAAGAAGGCUUUGGGGUUGUAAAGUCCUUUCGGAAGGGAGGCGUUACCUACAGAAGAAGCACCGGCUAACUCCGUGCCAGCAGCCGCGGUAAUAC
rnacentral:rRNA from 1 species